GAUGAACGCUGGCGGCGUGCCUAAUACAUGCAAGUCGAGCGAACGGACGAGAAGCUUGCUUCUCUGAUGUUAGCGGCGGACGGGUGAGUAACACGUGGAUAACCUACCUAUAAGACUGGGAUAACUUCGGGAACCGGAGCUAAUACCGGAUAAUAUUUUGAACCGCCUGGUUCAAAAGUAAAAGACGGUCUUGCUGUCACUUAUAGAUGGAUCCGCGCUGCAUUAGCUAGUUGGUAAGGUAACGGCUUACCAAGGCAACGAUGCAUAGCCGACCUGAGAGGGUGAUCGGCCACACUGGAACUGAGACACGGUCCAGACUCCUACGGGAGGCAGCAGUAGGGAAUCUUCCGCAAAGGGCGAAAGCCUGACGGAGCAACGCCGCGUGAGUGAUGAAGGUCUUCGGAUCGUAAAACUCUGUUAUUAGGGAAGAACAUAUGUGUAAGUAACUGUGCACAUCUUGACGGUACCUAAUCAGAAAGCCACGGCUAACUACGUG
rnacentral:rRNA from 1 species